ensembl:lncRNA
GGCUGCAGGGAGUAGAUGAUCGUUUUAUUGGGUCUGUCCUCCUCUCUUCCUCUCCCUGUACAUUGGCUCUGUAAACUCCUCUUGUGUACAUCUUCCAUAAACCUUCUGAAACAAUCACUCCAUCAACCGGCUCUCUUCUUCACUGUGUCUUUCUCUACUCGGAUGUCUAAUUCAGUGGUCAUUGCUUAAAUUCAUUUUCACUCAUUCUCCACCCACACAUCACGCCACACACACGUGUCACACGCCAUGCACACACGUCACAACACACGGCAACACAUGGUGGUGAACUGGAGCUUCGAGAGUCAUUCGGCAUUAAGCUACAUGUGAAUGUACAGUGGCCGUCAUAGCAUAACGCAGUGUGUCUGUUGUCAUGAUGUUUUUCGCAAGAGAUUGGGUGAGUAUCACAUCUGUGUGUGCCUGUGUUUGGAAGCAUCAGUUAGUCUGUGUAGGGGCAUUGUGGGUGUGUGUGUGUGUGUGUGUGUUUGAGCGCGCGCACGUUUUAGCACACACCCAAGGAUUCUCAGCGACCGUGGAUGGAAUUAAUUCCCUAUGAGAGAGUGGAGUGUCUUCUACUGUCACUAUGGAAACCCUCAAGGCCCCAUCAUUCUCAAUUCCAUACGGUUUCAUUAUCACAACGCCAUUAUCACAUAUCACAAUACUGUCAAGUUAUCACUAUAACAUUGAGUUAUCACAUCAUAUUUAUCACUGUACCAUCAAGUUAUCAAUAUCGUCACACUGCCAUUAUUCUCUGAUCCUAGACAUUGUUUUCCCCACAAAUCCAACAGAGGCCAGAUCAUAUCAGUCCAGUGCCACAGUAGUACAACCAUACAGGGCAGGAGUCGCGUUAGGAAGUAUGAAGAGAAAAUAAAAUGCAUAACUACAUGGCAAUUUAAGAUUUAAAGAAGUAAAGUAUUUAAAUAACUGAUUUGCAUGUGCAACGUGCAUGCCAUUACGUGGGGUUAAAUAAGUCAACUUCAGGAAUUAAAAAAAGAAAUGAAUAUAAAGAGAAAAAAAAAUAAAGUAUAUAUGUAUAAAUAUAUAUAGAUAGAUGUUUUUAAGAGCAAUGUGUUCCUUUUUUCUUCUAUUUUUGAAAAACAAAAAAACUGGGGGUAAAAAAGCUUUGGACAAAAAAAACAGACAAAAAAUUAUUUCAAAGAAGAACCUUGGUGAUGCAAAGAAUGUUUUUUGUUUGAUACUAUUUGCCAGUUAUUUCACUAAAGGGGGAACUGCAAUGGUGGGGAGAUAGAUGAUUUAACAGUUUAAACAUAAUGUUGAAGCAUUACAUUACAAAAAAUGAAGAAAAGAUCAACAUGGAACGAAGGAAUACAUUUUUCCCUAUUUAAAGAAAAACUAAAAUCCCUUGAUUGAGAGUCUUGAGAGCUGCCUGUUGAUUCUGGUGAUUAUGUGUCCCGUUAUUCCAGCUAUGAAAUCCCUCUCUUUCUCUCUCUUUAUCUAUCUCUCUGCUAUUUCUACCAGUGCAUUUUGUAACUCCAAACAGAACUCUUCCUAAGGAACCUGAAUAAAACCUGAGAGAAUGCAUUCUACCUCUGCUCAGUCUCUACUUAUUACAUAGCCAACACACACACACACACACACACACUGAAAGUCUAAGUUACCAACCCUUUGUCUUCAUUUAUCAGAAUGUGUGUUACACACGCACACAUUCUGUCCUCUGUUUACUUGGGGACAUAUAACACACACAGA